GUAACAGGACACCCUUAUUAUUGCCAGAGAACUACACUCUAGUCCACAACCAACCAUCAAAACAUACCAUCACCAUUUACCACCCACAAAUUAUGAAAUAAACAGCACACAGCUUCAAUUCCACCCAAAAGACUAAAGUUUAAAACUGCUUCAAGUUAUGGCGGUAGAACACAGCUGGAUCAUCCAAUAAUUCUAGUCCGCCCUCGACUGACCAGCUCGAGAAGAAAGAAUGAUGCCAACAAUAAGACCGUAGAGAGCAAGGGCUUCUGCGAAAAUGAGGAUCAGGAUCAUCCCCACAAAAAGUUUAGGUUCCAUACCAGCAGAAAGACCAGCAAGACCACAAGCCAAACCAGAUGAAAGAUGGGCGUAUCCAUCAAACAAGUAAUACGAUUUCGCCUUAGGGUUGAUACCAGUGCUGAUAAUCACAGCAAUAAUCAAACCGUAAAUCCCCAACACUCCAGCCAUAACAACCGGCACAAUCGACUUCAUCACCAACUCUGGCCUCAUAACUCCCAUCGACGCCACUCCAACGCCGCUCUUCGCUGUCCCGUACGCCGCCCCCAUACCUGAGAAGACAAGUGCGGCAGCGGCUCCGAGGAAUCCGAAGAAUGGUGCCGUUUCAUCGCCGGAGAACGUUGAAGACAUGAUCGGAUCGGAUGAGAGAGAGAGAGAGAGAGAGAGAGAGAGAGAGAGAUUGGUGUAUAAGUUGAAUUGUAUGGUGGGUUUUGGUUGAUCGUGAUCG
rnacentral:lncRNA from 1 species